CGUAUAAACGUGCCCGAGUCCAAUUAGAUGUAAUCUAACUAAUUCAACUCAAAGCAUUUCGUGUGAAUUUGAAUUUGGUUUUCCGUUUGUCAAUGGAAUUUUCUCAUCUGUCAAACUUGGACAACGUUGAGAUUAGAUCUCUUAUCCCUCACGUAGUCAAAACUGGCAAGAAGUUUUUGUUGCUCAAGAUGCAGUUGAAGCUCGAGAGGGAAUUUUCGAAAGGUCAAGUUUUGUUUAAAUAAGUUGGAAGAGUUAGUUUAUUCUUUUGAAACCAGUUUCUUCUUUUAUUCAACGCCCAUGGAUAAAGCAGGUCCCCUUCAGCUGCUUACUUUAAUUGUGCUGGUUGCGAGAAUGUCGAUUAGCGUUUGGUUGCAUCGAAACAGGUUGCUCAUGUGAAAAUCGAACAGCACCCACUUGUACAUGAGGAAAUGAUGCUUUGAUAACAAUGAACAUUACAUUUAGUUUUCCUCCUGGCUAUAAAGAUUGCACAGUUAAGCUAUUAAGUAUUUAUUAACUCUGAAACCUUUACUUGUUUUAUGAUUUGGCAGGUGAAAGAGACAAAUCUCCUAACGCGAGUUGAUUUACUCAAAUUCACACUUGAUGAUGUAGGGGACAUCUUUGAUCUGAUCUACCGCACACUCAUUGUCUUAGCUCAUACCUUUGCGUCGCUAACAACCGAAAAUGUUGACCGGUAACGCAGGACAUUAACAUAUGAAAAUGUAACACGGUUUCCUCAGAACCCAUUCACGGGAAUGGCAAGACAACAAACGGAGAGAUUCAAUCUUUGCAAAAAGGCAAUGGCUGCUGCUGUGGGCUCAUUCAAGAUACGCAGAACAUUGAAACCAGCAAUAGUUCCUGCGUCACGCGUUGCUUGGCGCUGCGAGUCGUUAAAAUUAGCAGGAACUGUGAUGACUGCGUCUGUUACCUCUGUCCCCAAUUGACUUCAACUUUCGGUUUUCCACCGUCAGCCACAAAGUCGAAAGGCCAGUGCUUCUGAUCGACAUCUUUGAGUUGACGUCCAAGUAGGCGCUUGGUAUCUGGUUUUCGACCUUUUUGUUAUCGUCUUGCAACGCCCUUUCGUUCAGGAAAGAGACGCCACAUUUGGAACUCCAUAUAAGAUG